CAACUACUCCCUCUGUCCCAAAUUUCUUGUCUUAGAUUUGUCUAGAUAUAGAUGUAUCUAAUACUAAAAUGUGACUUGAUACAUCCGUAUCUAGACAAAUCUAAGACAAGAAUUUUGGGAUGGAGGGAGUACUUU
rnacentral:pre_miRNA from 1 species